GAUGAACGCUAGCGGCAGGCCUAACACAUGCAAGUCGAGGGAGAAGCCCUUUCGGGGGCAGAAACCGGCGCACGGGUGCGUAACGCGUAUGCAACCUACCUUUCACAGGGGGAUAGCCCGAAGAAAUUUGGAUUAAUACCCCAUAAUAUUAUUGGAUGGCAUCAUUUGAUAAUUAAAACUGCGGUGGUGAAAGAUGGGCAUGCGUCCUAUUAGCUAGUUGGAGUGGUAACGGCACUCCAAGGCUACGAUAGGUAGGGGUCCUGAGAGGGAGAUCCCCCACACUGGUACUGAGGCAGCGACCAGACGCCUACGGGAGGCAGCAGUGAGGAAUAUUGGUCAAUGGUCGGAAGACUGAGCCAGCCAUGCCGCGUGCAGGAAGAAUGCCUUAUGGGUUGUAAACUGCUUUUAUAUGGGAAGAAUAAGGCGUACGUGUACGUUGAUGACGGUACCAUAUGAAUAAGCAUCGGCUAACUCCGUG
rnacentral:rRNA from 1 species